CCUUUUUUUUUACCCUUUUCAUGAACUGGUAACACAACUGGGUUUAUACUUAAACUUAGCGAACAAAGGAGAAGAACUGACUGAGAGUCCCCGCUUCAACUGUCAGAAUCAGCUCCAGCAAGUUGAAGGGUGAAGCUGUACUGUUGAUCAGUGUACGACUGAUGUGGGAGUUGGAUGUCACAUGAGCAACUUACAAAAUAGGAUAUGCUAGCAAACAGAUCCUCGAAACCCUUAAGACAACCAGUCAUUAUAUAUCUUGUGUUUUAGUGAGAUAUGAUCUGAGGUCAGACUGCGUCGUCCGACCCACGGAACAGAAACACAGCAGAACGGUGAAUACUCCAAAUGAUCCCAGAAAAGAAAGGCUGAAUCUGUAACUAACACAAUUCUUGUUGAAUAUAGAUACAGGGCUACUGGGGCAGAGAUCUUGAGAUGUGCAUACAUAGUGAACAAAUCUACUUUGAUCUCCUGCCAGAUGACUAUGAUCCCCUGGGUUCACUGACCUUUCAUUAAAGUCUUUCUCCAGGAGCAGAAGAACAACAGUCUCACCGUCUGAUGACCCCUAACCCCAAGUGCUCGGAUGGUUUGAAUCCCGACUCACCUCGUGUUCUGUCAUUUUUAUUGUCACUCUUAUGUUGCUCCACACUCCUCCAAUAAACAUUGUCAGACGUUUCCAUACACAAAUAAAACACAUUGUAAAUCGCACUGUAAAUCACACUGUCAAACUGAGGACUCCGUAGUUCCUCUAGUGAACUUCUAUCCUCCUAAGAAUUGAAUUGCUCACAACUACCAAAGGAUAAUUUAGAGUUUCUACAUUAAGAGCAAAUAAUCAGAUAUAACAUCAUCUCUCUGAGGAGCCCCUCUGUAAUCUAGACUUUACAUUUGAGCUUUAAUUGCUCACAUUAAUGGUGCUGAUAAAAUUCAUUCAAUAUUUAACUGCAUUUGACUUUUCAUUUCCAUGCCCUCCACCUCCUCCUCACAUACAGGGAACAGCACAGAGUUUAUGCACUGGAGGGUUGAGGCCCAAGCCCACACAUGGAGUCAGAUCCAGGUCGUCCUCUGAAACUCCCGGAGCUGGGGUGAAACGGAAGCGCUGCAGGAGAGUGACGAAGAAGAUGAAGAGCUCCAUCCUGGCCAGACUCUCUCCGAGACAAACCCUGCGACCUGUUGAGAGGGACGGCGAGGAAGUGAACGGGAUGGAAGGAGUGAGGUUUCUCCCACUCGUUCUCAUCGUACAGGACAGAUGUCAACAGAGGAUACACGGUGGUCCCCUGUGGACAAAAGCACAUUUCAAAUAGACAUUAUUCUUUUUGAACAACGUAAAAAGGUUCCCUCGUGUUGUUGGGUUGGCUCUCUGGGUCGGAUUCUUGCGAACGCAAUACCCACACUCGUUAUAUGGAGUCUGACCUUCUUGAUGAAGUGACCCUGGAAGGUGACGUCCUGGCUCGUCUUGUGAGGCAGAGCCAUCGGGGCGAUGUUGGCCAGUCUCUGCGUCUCAUGGAUGACGGCGUCAGUGAAGGGGAGGUUCUUCCUGUCUUCAACCUGCACCUGACGACUUCCGAUCACCCUGCUCAGCUCCUCCUGGACCUGGUCUGUGAAACAGAGGAAACUUAUUCUCUUUGGGUUCAACUCGGUACAAGUUGAACCCAAAGAGAGAGAGCUGUGCACAUGUUUUGCUCCUCACCCUGUAUUUUUGAAUACUUGGCCAUAAGCAGGAGUCCCCAUCUCAGAGUAGUUGCAGUGGUAUCGGUCCCGGCAGCAAACAGAUUGAGAACUGUCAUCAUGAGGUUUUUAUCGUGGUAGUGACUGUUGGUGUUCCCAGAUUUCUGCACAGAGAAGCUCUUCUUAACUCAGACCUUGAUGGAAUCAAAUAUCAUAGGCAGGUGUUAAUUGGAAAUGAUUAUGAUAGGAAAGUGCUUCCCAACCUCCAGAUGUUCCUUUUGAACCAGAAAGGCGUCUACGAAUCCUCUGCACAUCUGUGGACUGAGAGUCUCUUUCAGACGUCUGAACAGCUUCACGUUCUGUUCCUUAUUGUCUUCAAUCAUUUUCUUGAAAGUCUUCGGGUUAGUGAAAAAUUUACCAAUCCAUGGGAACAGGUUGUAUAACUGUAAAAAAACACAAUAGAAUGUCAUUUGGAUUCUGUUCUGUUAGAUGCAAGUGUUUAUCAUGUUUAUUUAAAUCAAAGCACUGUAAGUAUAAGAUAGAAACACAUAUAAAGUGAUACCUGUACUGACGGAGAGGCCAAGAGUUGAAAUUGUUUGUUUGUUCGAUAAACCAAAGACGUAAACUCUGAAUCAUCAUAUUCAAAUCUGUUUCCAUAGACCAUGGAGCAGAUAAUAUUAGAGAUUGCACAGCUCAAGGGUUGGGUCGUAUUGAAGGCUUCUCCUGCAACAAGAAAAACAGUAUUAGAUUUCUUUAUCGCCUGAAAUGUUGAAUAUAUAUGUGUUUGAAAACACUUACCCUUGAACUUGGUGAACACUUCAGUGAGGUACUGGCAUUCCUCAAUAAUUUUUCCCUCACACGCUUUUUUACCCAUCCCAUAAUCUCUUAGGUUUGUCAAGGCAAAGCGCCUCAUUUCUUUCCACGCAUCCCCA